rnacentral:rRNA from 1 species
UACGUAGGGACCAAGCGUUGUUCGGAUUUACUGGGCGUAAAGGGCGCGUAGGCGGCUUGUCAAGUCACUUGUGAAAUCUCUGGGCUUAACCCAGAACGGCCAAGUGAAACUGACAUGCUAGAGUGCAGAAGGGGCAAUCGGAAUUCUUGGUGUAGCGGUGAAAUGCGUAGAUAUCAAGAGGAACACCUGAGGUGAAGACGGGUUGCUGGGCUGACACUGACGCUGAUUGUGCGAAAGCUAGGGGAGCGAACGGG